AGAUUUGGCAUGGUAUAGUUAAGUUCCAUAUGGAACUUUUAUUAAUGGGUUGCGGAUCAAAGCUUUAAUAGAAUUCGAUCUGGUUUUCUGCCGCGGCGGUGUUUUCUGUGUGCGCAUGGUCUCCGGCGUUUGGAUCUGCGUUCAACGGCCGAACUCCUAAGAAAAAAUAGUUGCAGCACAUGAUGCAUUCAAGUAUGGUUCAUAAAGCAACGAAUGUGAAGCCUAAUUACGUGAUUUGGUUGGUGCCUCCAACAUCGAAUCGGUUAUAAAGGACCAAGAAUUUUGCAGUGUCAAUGGGAUCAAGUCGAUAAAGAGAGACGUCGAGAGGUCGUAAUAUCAAAGCGGAAAUGUAGGGAACUCCAGAAUUUGUGUUAACCAAACAGACGUCGAUGUAAUCCGAGGAAGGAUCAGGGAGGGUAAUAGCCUCCAUACAUUGGCUGUCAAGCUUCACUGUUCCCCACAAAUUGACGCCGAGGUGAAGGUCAAAAAUGGGGGUGGAGUUUAAGCCAUCAUAAUUGCCAUACACAAAGGAAGCUCUGAUGAGAUAUUUAGUCAUUUUGGGUGCCUCUGUUUUUAGACGGUAGCAGUUCCUUGUGCCAUUUGGAAAGCUUCUUAAGCUCCAGUAUAUAGGUCCCCAACGUGGACGAUAUUCUGCUAAUAUUUGGUUGCUCAUUCCAGAUCCUAUCAUGUCUUUGUCUGUUUUAUAAACCAACCCAUCCCAUUCAUUUACCAUAUCUUCGAAUCCGCCGCAGUCGAUACUAAUGAAACCUAUCAUUUCAAAAUU